GACGAACGCUGGCGGCGUGCCUAAUACAUGCAAGUCGAACGAGAGCGCCCGGUGCUUGCACUGGUCUAUCUAGUGGCGCACGGGUGUGUAACGCGUGGGUCCCCUGCUCAACAGAGGGGGAUAACCUCCGGAAACGGGCGCUAACACCGCAUAGGCCUUCGCGCCGCAUGGCUUGAAGGGGAAAAGCGGCGCAUGCUUCUGCAGUUGGGUGGAAUCGCGGUGCAUUAGGUAGAUGGUGAGGUCACGGCUCAGCCAGGCCGUGAUGCUUAGCCGAUCGGCGGGGGUGGUAGGCCACAUGGGGAGGGAGACACGGCCCAAGCGCCUGCGGGAGGCAGCAGUAGGGAAUCGUCCGCAAUGGACGCAAAUCUUACGGAGCAACGCCGCGUGAGUGAAGAAGGUGUUCGGAUCGGAAAGCUCGGUUGUGAGAGAAGAACAAGUGCUGGAGUAACUGUUAGCGGCUUGACGGUAUCUAAUCAGAAAGCCACGGCUAACUACGUG
rnacentral:rRNA from 1 species